rnacentral:rRNA from 1 species
CCUACGGGAGGCAGCAGUGGGGAAUAUUGGACAAUGGGGGGAACCCUGAUCCAGCCAUGCCGCGUGUGUGAAGAAGGCCCUCGGGUUGUAAAGCACUUUCAGUGAGGAAGAACGCCUGGUGGUUAAUACCCAUCAGGAAAGACAUCACUCACAGAAGAAGCACCGGCUAACUCCGUGCCAGCAGCCGCGGUAAUACGGAGGGUGCGAGCGUUAAUCGGAAUUACUGGGCGUAAAGCGCGCGUAGGUGGCUUGAUAAGCCGGUUGUGAAAGCCCCGGGCUCAACCUGGGAACGGCAUCCGGAACUGUCAAGCUAGAGUGCAGGAGAGGAAGGUAGAAUUCCCGGUGUAGCGGUGAAAUGCGUAGAGAUCGGGAGGAAUACCAGUGGCGAAGGCGGCCUUCUGGACUGACACUGACACUGAGGUGCGAAAGCGUGGGUAGCGAACAGGAUUAGAUACCCGGGUAGUC